GACGAACGCUGGCGGCGUGCUUAACACAUGCAAGUCGAACGGAAAGGCCCCCUUGUGGGGUACUCGAGUGGCGAACGGGUGAGUAACACGUGAGUAACCUACCCUUGCCUUUGGGAUAACUUCAGGAUACUGGGGCUAAUACCGGAUAGGAGCUCCUGCUGCAUGGUGGGGGUUGGAAAUUUUCGGCGGUUGGGGAUGGACUCGCGGCUUAUCAGCUUGUUGGUGGGGUAGUGGCUCACCAAGGCUUUGACGGGUAGCCGGCCUGAGAGGGUGACCGGCCACAUUGGGACUGGGAUACGGCCCAGACUCCUACGGGAGGCAGCAGUGGGGAAUAUUGCACAAUGGGCGGAAGCCUGAUGCAGCAACGCCGCGUGCGGGAUGACGGCCUUCGGGUUGUAAACCGCUUUCGCCUGUGACGAAGCGUGAGUGACGGUAAUGGGUAAAGAAGCACCGGCUAACUACGUG
rnacentral:rRNA from 1 species